rnacentral:rRNA from 1 species
GCGAAAACUUUACAAUGCUGGCAACAGCGAUAAGGGAACCUCGAGUGCCAGGUUACAAAUCUGGCUGUCGAGAUGCCUAAAAAGCAUUUCAUAGCAAGGGCCGGGCAAGACCGGUGCCAGCCGCCGCGGUAACACCGGCGGCUCGAGUGGUAACCGUUAUUAUUGGGUCUAAAGGGUCUGUAGCCGGCCGGAUAAGUCUCUUGAGAAAUCUGGCAGCUUAACUGUCAGGCUUUCAGGAGAUACUGUCUGGCUCGAGGCCGGGAGAGGUGAGAGGUACUUCAGGGGUAGGGGUGAAAUCUUGUAAUCCUUGAAGGACCACCAGUGGCGAAGGCGUCUCACCAGAGCGUACCUGACGGCAAGGGACGAAAGCUAGGGGCACGAACC